rnacentral:rRNA from 1 species
UACAGAGGGUGCGAGCGUUGUCCGGAAUCACUGGGCGUAAAGGGCGCGUAGGCGGCUUGAUAAGGUUGCGGUGAAAGCCCGGGGCUCAACCCCGGGUCGGCCGUGGCAACUGUCGGAGCUGGAGCACUGUAGAGGCAGGUGGAAUUCCGGGUGUAGCGGUGGAAUGCGUAGAGAUCCGGAAGAACACCGGUGGCGAAGGCGGCCUGCUGGGCGAGUGGCUGACGCUGAGGCGCGACAGCGUGGGGAGCAAACAGG